GCCCCGAUAGCUCAAUUGGAUAGAGCAACGGCCUUCUAAGCCGUAGGUUCCAGGUUCGAGUCCUGGUCGGGGUG
rnacentral:tRNA from 1 species